AAUUAAGAAAGAAGAAGAAAAAUGGCCAUGAUAAAUACAGUAGUUGGUUUUACUAUUCGGUUGGUGAUCCUUUUGUUCAUUUUGAUAGGGUGUUGAAAACCAUGCAUUCAUGCAUUCAUUAUCUUAGGUGGGGACAAGUAUAAAACAGUUGUGGCUUGGUGUGCAAGGAGAAAGUAGGUGAAAGUAUUUAAUAUUUAUAUUAAAGAGGGAAGUCCAUUUUCUAACUAAGACAAUCUUCU